rnacentral:lncRNA from 10 species
GGAACCCGGCGCGCCUUGAAGAAGGCAGGCCUAAACCUCGUAGCUCUUGGGGUCCCGGUAACUACUUAGGUCCCGAACUUUUUUAAGUAUGCAGAAGAACCUUAGAAAACGCGUUAGGAAGGGUGAGGACUAACUUGACCUUGAUCUGCUUCCCGACUCAACAGAACCUAGUAAAGAAAAAUGCAGUAGCAUGAAGCAGAGAGCUUGGGGUUCCGCAAGCUCUCCCCCGCUUCUACUGCAGCCCCACUCGUACUCACAGAGAAAAGGCACCUCUGAUCUUAACCUGUAGAUAGUCCAAACUGCUAAGACAAACCCAGGGCUCAGGGCAGUGACAAGAAAUGGAGAACCCAGAAAAAAAAAUAACAAAUAAGAUAAGGGUAAAAAAGAAAAAAAAAAAAAAAGAAAUGAGGACACCAGGCAAGGAGGCGAAAAGCUCACCAACUGAAGCCGUGGAAGUGACUGAAAGCUGCCUCUUUUGUCGUAUGCCAGGUAACCACAAUACUGAUUCAUCAAUAUUUAAAAAGCAAAGCGAAGGCACUGAAAAAGCCCAGUCCACCCCACCAAACCAAUGAUUCUGAACCUUGGGCAAAAGAAACCUUGCUUGUCCUUGGGGCUUAAGGAAUCUAUGUCAGAAUCCACCUCUGCAUCUCGCAGGCUGUUUUUUCUAGCAAGAAUUCUGUCCAGAUUAUAAAUAUCCUCAGAGGCUUAGACAAAUCCUACCUUGAUCAUACCUCACCUCCAAAUGGUCUACAGUACGUUAAUUUGUUCCUACUACAAGUUUUUAUAGUUUUCAUACUCUGUAAUACACGAUUUGCCACUCAAUCCUGUGCAACAUUUACUGUGGCUUCAUUGUGCCAUAUAGGUCGGAACCCUCUCCUUGCGAGGCUAUAUGCUUCUCAAGGAUGUAUCUGUAGUACCUUUUUUUCUGUUCAAUAGCUAGCUAAAUUAUUUAUGCACUUAAAAAACACGAAUUGGCAUAUACUGUAGGUUCCAUCCCUGCUAAGUUAUGAGGAUACAAAGGCAUAAGAAAGUCCCUGCCCUCAGGUGUUCUCUCUCUAAUGGGGAAAGAGACGUAUAAUCCAAAACGAGAGGUGGCAAAGAUUUUUUUUAAUGGUAGGAAAAUGAAUAUUGCAAUAUUUUGGAAACAUCUCACCAACUUCGAUUCUCCCUGCAUUCUGUCAGAAACCCUCAUAAUUCUCUCAAUGUUGUUUUAACCUUAUUUUCCAAGCUGCCACCUAUACCCAUUCAGAAGAUCUAGAUAUUUACUAUGACAUAUUAGAAAGAGUCACAGAGAUGAAAGAGAAAAAUUCAUGUGCUGUGUAUGAUAAUCCAGUGGUGCUUGUAAAUUUGCCCGCUAUGUCCUUAAGGACAUCAUUUGACCUUGAUGAUCCAAACAAGGAUAUCAACCCAAACUGCAUACUCAGGUCUAGGCCAUGGUUGCCGUAAGCAUUGAUGCAGAAUUUCAAGCCCUGUCUGGCCAUUCUGUCUGCAGUAGUCUACAUUACUCUUUGCUUGAAUAUACAUAUUUUUGGAGAUUGGAAAUGGAAAUGGUAAAGCUGGCUUUAUAUGCUUUCUGUCUGAUUUGAUUUUCAGCCAUUGAAUGUAACCUAAUUUAGACAAAGGGAGUUCUUCAUAGCACCCUUCCUAGCUCAUUUGCAGACCUCUAUGGGAGAGUUUCUGAGUACCAGCUAGGAAAACACUGUUUAUUUACCUUGCCUGCCUCCUGAGUGAAUGCUUUUUCCUCAAGGACUUCACAGAGAUGGGUAGCUGAUCAAUGGCAGGACCCCAGUGUUUGUGGGUCUUCUGGCCAGAUCCUACCUAAAUAUUACACACUGAAGUGCAACCUAUAUACUCUUCAUAAUUUGGUAAUUGGUCUCUCAAAAUUCUGCAUUCUUAACAAAAAAAAAUCUUUCUUUUAAAAGUUUCUAUGAGGCCAGGUGCAGUGGUUCACACCUGUAAUCCUUAAUCCUAGCACUUUGGGGGGCCCAGGCAGGAGGAUUGCUUGAGGCCAGAAGUUCAAGACCAGCCUGGGCAACAUAGGGAGAUUCCACCUGCACACACA